UACGUAGGUGGCGAGCGUUGUCCGGAUUUACUGGGCGUAAAGCGCGCGUAGGCGGCCUGUUAAGUUCUGUGUGAAAGGUUCCGGCUCAACCGGGACAGUGCAUGGGAUACUGGCGGGCUUAAGGGCAGCAGAGGUCGGUGGAAUUCCCGGUGGAGUGGUGAAAUGCGUAGAGAUCGGGAGGAACACCAGUGGCGAAGGCGGCCGACUGGGCUGUACCUGACGCUGAGGCGCGAAAGCGUGGGGAGCGAACCGG
rnacentral:rRNA from 1 species